UUACACACGGAGACAGCCUUUGGUUUGUCUCAGCAGAGCGCUUGGGAAGGUCUGAGAAGGCCGAUUUCCCUCGGUGGGAAUGCCACGAAAGUUACUGCUUGAGGACCAGCAAUGUGCCUCUUGAGGGCAAGCAGAAGAUCUCAGGACCAGGUGGUACUGGGUGAUGCGUUACAGCCCUCAGGUUGGUUGGAACAACUCAAGAGGCCCAAAUCAUCGAAGUUCAAUACACAAGGUGGCUACCAGCCAUA
rnacentral:RNase_P_RNA from 2 species